UGGGGAAUAUUGGACAAUGGGGGCAACCCUGAUCCAGCAAUGCCGCGUGUGUGAAGAAGGCCUGCGGGUUGUAAAGCACUUUCAGUAGAGAAGAAAAGCGUACGGUUAAUACCCGUAAGUCUUGACGUAACCUACAGAAGAAGCACCGGCUAACUCCGUGCCAGCAGCCGCGGUAAUACGUAGGGUGCAAGCGUUGUCCGGAAUUAUUGGGCGUAAAGAGCUCGUAGGCGGUUUGUCGCGUCUGCUGUGAAAGUUCGGGGCUCAACCCCGGAACUGCAGUGGGUACGGGCAGACUAGAGUGCGGUAGAGGAGACUGGAAUUCCUGGUGUAGCGGUGGAAUGCGCAGAUAUCAGGAGGAACACCAGUGGCGAAGGCGGGUCUCUGGGCCGCAACUGACGCUGAGGAGCGAAAGCAUGGGGAGCGAACAGGAUUAGAUACCCGCGUAGUCC
rnacentral:rRNA from 1 species